AGGACGAACGCUGGCGGCGUGCCUAACACAUGCAAGUCGAACGCGCUCCAUUCGGUAGCAAUACUGAUGAAGAGCGAGUGGCGAACGGGUGAGUAGCACGUGAGCAACCUGCCCCGAAGACCGGGACAACACCGGGAAACCGGUGCUAAUACCGGAUAUCCCUAUCGGACCGCAUGAUCUGAUAAGGAAAUGGAUUCCGCUUCGGGAGGGGCUCGCGGCCUAUCAGCUAGUUGGUGAGGUAACGGCCCACCAAGGCAUCGACGGGUAGCUGGUCUGAGAGGACGAUCAGCCACACUGGGACUGAGACACGGCCCAGACUCCUACGGGAGGCAGCAGUGGGGAAUCUUGCGCAAUGGGCGAAAGCCUGACGCAGCAACGCCGCGUGGAGGACGAAGGCUUUCUGAGUUGUAAACUCCUUUCAGCAGGGACGAUAGUGACGGUACCUGCAGAAGAGCACCGGCCAACUACGCGCCAGCAGCCGUA
rnacentral:rRNA from 1 species